rnacentral:rRNA from 1 species
AGGAUGAACGCUGGCGGUAUGCUUAACACAUGCAAGUCGAACGAAAUCUUCGGAUUUAGUGGCGGACGGGUGAGUAACGCGUGAGAAUCUGCCUUCAGGUCUGGGACAACCACUGGAAACGGUGGCUAAUACCGGAUGUGCCGCAAGGUGAAAGGUUAACUGCCUGAAGAUGAGCUCGCGUCUGAUUAGCUAGUUGGCAGUGUAAGAGACUACCAAGGCGACGAUCAGUAGCUGGUCUGAGAGGACGAUCAGCCACACUGGGACUGAGACACGGCCCAGACACCUACGGGUGGCAGCAGUCGAGAAUUUUUUCACAAUGGGGGAAACCCUGAUGGAGCGACGCCGCGUGGGGAUGAAUGGCUUCGGCCCGUAAACCCCUGUCAUUUGCGAACAACCUUUCCAUUGACAGGUGGAAAGUUGAUAGUAGCGGAAGAGGAAGGACGGCUAACGUCUGUGCCAGCAGCCGC